AACAAUGGCGAAUGUAUCCUCUUGUGUGUAUGUAUAUGUAUCUUUUUGUUGAACAUUUGUUUUCCUUUUUGCGUCAUUUAUUCCUUCCUUUCAGGGCCGACUCAUCGAACGAAGCGCCCGUGGCCAAUGGACUGACCGAAUUCGGAGAGAAAGUGGUGAAGGAGAUGAACCGGUUGGGCAUGAUAGUGGACUUGUCGCACGUGGGGGAGAACACCACCAGGGCUGCCAUCAGGCUCUCCAGGGCUCCCGUGGUCUUCAGCCAUUCAUCUGUCUACAGUCUCUGCAACCAUAAGCGUAACAUUCCUGAUGACAUCAUCCAAUCUCUGGAAGAAAAUGGCGGGAUCAUCAUGGUGAACUUCUUCCCCGACUUUGUGAAGUGCGCGCCCAACGCCACGAUCUCUGACGUCGCCGGUAAGUGGGCCCAAGUUGUGCCAGUCCUAGUUACACUGCGUUACG